UACGGGGGGGGCAAGCGUUGUUCGGAAUUACUGGGCGUAAAGGGCUCGUAGGCGGCCAACUAAGUCAGACGUGAAAUCCCCAGGCUCAACCUGGGAACUGCGUCUGAUACUGGAUGGCUUGAAUUCGGGAGAGGGAUGCAGAAUUCCAGGUGUAGCGGUGAAAUGCGUAGAUAUCUGGAGGAAUACCGGUGGCGAAGGCGGCAUCCUGGACCAUUACUGACGCUUAAGCGCGAAAGCUAGGGGAGCAAACGGG
rnacentral:rRNA from 1 species